rnacentral:rRNA from 1 species
AGGAGGUCCCGCCUGCCCUGUGAUAAUAUAUUUAACGGCCGCGGUAUUUUGACCGUGCAAAGGUAGCGCAAUCACUUGUCUUUUAAAUGAAGACCUGUAUGAAUGGCAUAACGAGGGCUUAACUGUCUCCCCUCCCCAGUCAAUGAAAUUGAUCUUCCCGUGCAGAAGCGGGAAUAAUAAUAUAAGACGAGAAGACCCUGUGGAGCUUUAGACAAUAAGCAGCCCCUGUAAAGACACCUUACUUAACAAGCUAAAACAAAAGGGAGCCUACUUUGCUGUCUUUGGUUGGGGCGACCGCGGGGGAACAAAAAGCCCCCAUGUGGAAUUAGAAAAUUUUCUUUAAACCAAGAGUGUCAACUCAAAGUAACAGAACAUCUGACCUAAAAUGACCCGGCUAUGCCGAUCAACGAAACCAGUUACCCCAGGGAUAACAGCGCAAUCCUCUCCCAGAGCCCAUAUCGACNARGGGGUUUAC